UCCGUAAAGUUAGUUUCACUCCACAUAGCAGCUGCUCUAUUUCUUCCCUUUUCACUUUCUCUUUCCCACCAUUUGCCUGAAGCUCCUCAUCCCCUUCCUUGUGCCUCCUCAGAAUUCUACCAGUGCACCUCAUUCAGACAUUCAUCAAGAAAAAGGCCAGCUGAAGGCAGACAGCCAACAAAACUCAGUCGUUAGCCACAGCCCUGGCUGUCCUCGUCCAUCAAGCCUGCCCAUUGUGAGCUUCCAUUCAUCUUACCUGUCUGUUAUGGAAGAGUGAAGUGGAAAAGGCAUGGAGGACUCAGAAGACCUGCUACCGAGAAGAGCCCCAUUGCAAUCAGAAGAUUAUUUAUGGAAAAAAGCAAAAUGGAGAUAUUUAAAAGACGGAGAGAGACAGCAGAAAGCUGCUUAAGAAAUUGCUUUGAGUCCACAGGAGGGAAGCACAAAGGAGAUGGGAUAAUAGUGUUAUACACUACAUGAUAUCACAGAGCUGGCAGAGUUAAUGAGUAUCUUGGACAAUUGCACCAAAUGCAAUGGAUUGGGAUCACUAAAUCAAGACGUAAUUUGAUAGAAAUAAAGGGAUGGGUUCUUGCUCUGUUACCCAGGCUGGAGCACAG
rnacentral:lncRNA from 1 species